CUGGGCGUAAGGGUGCGUAGGCGGAUAUUUAAGUCAGAUGUGAAAACCCCGGGCUUAACUUGGGGACUGCAUUUGAAACUGGAUAUCUAGAGUGCAGGAGAGGAAAGCGGAAUUCCUAGUGUAGCGGUGAAAUGCGUAGAGAUUAGGAAGAACACCAGUGGCGAAGGCGGCUUUCUGGACUGUAACUGACGCUGAGGCACGAAAGCGUGGGUAGCAAACAGGAUUAGAUACCCUGGUAGUCCACGCCGUAAACGAUGAGUACUAGGUGUAGGAGGUAUCGACCCCUUCUGUGCCGCAGUAAACACAAUAAGUACUCCGCCUGGGAAGUACGAUCGCAAGAUUAAAACUCAAAGGAAUUGACGGGGGCCCGCACAAGCAGCGGAGCAUGUGGUUUAAUUCGAAGCAACGCGAAGAACCUUACCUGGACUUGACAUCCCCUGAAUAACCUAGAGAUAGGCGAAGCCCUUCGGGGCAGGGAGACAGGUGGUGCAUGGUUGUCGUCAGCUCGUGUCGUGAGAUGUUAGGUUAAGUCCUGCAACGAGCGCAACCCCUAUUGUUAGUUGCUAACAUUAAGUUGAGCACUCUAAUAAGACUGCCCGGGUUAACCCGGGAGGAAGUGGGGAUGAC
rnacentral:rRNA from 1 species